rnacentral:rRNA from 1 species
UGGGGAAUAUUGCACAAUGGGGGAAACCCUGAUGCAGCGACGCCGCGUGAGCGAAGAAGGCUUUCGAGUCGUAAAGCUCUGUCCUAUGAGAAGAUAAUGACGGUAUCAUAGGAGGAAGCCCUGGCUAAAUACGUGCCAGCAGCCGCGGUAAUACGUAUGGGGCGAGCGUUGUCCGGAAUUAUUGGGCGUAAAGGGUACGUAGGCGGUUUUUUAAGUCAGGUGUCAAAGCGUGGAGCUUAACUCCAUUAAGCACUUGAAACUGAAAGACUUGAGUGAAGGAGAGGAAAGUGGAAUUCCUAGUGUAGCGGUGAAAUGCGUAGAUAUUAGGAGGAAUACCGGUGGCGAAGGCGACUUUCUGGACUUUUACUGACGCUGAGGCACGAAAGCGUGGGGAGCAAACAGG